rnacentral:rRNA from 1 species
GACGAACGCUGGCGGCGUGCUUAACACAUGCAAGUCGAACGGAAAGGCCCUGCUUUUGUGGGGUGCUCGAGUGGCGAAAGGGUGAGUAACACGUGAGUAACCUGCCCUUGACUUUGGGAUAACUUCAGGAAACUGGGGCUAAUACCGGAUAGGAGCUCCUGCUGCAUGGUGGGGGUUGGAAAGUUUCGGCGGUUGGGGAUGGGCUCGCGGGUUAUCAGCUUGUUGGUGGGGUAGUGGCUUACCAAGGGUUUGGCGGGUAGGCGGGCUGUGAGGGUGACCGGGCUCCGUGGGAGACGAGUACGGGCCGAAGCACCUAGGGGGGGGAGAAGGGGGGAAGAUGGCAGAAGGGGCGGAGCCGUGAGCAGGAAGCCCGGCUUGGGGGAUGUGGGCUGCUGGGGUAGAAGCAGUUUUCGCAUGAGGCGAAGGUUGAUGACGGGAAAUGGGGAAAAAGCAACGGGUAAAUUAGGG